rnacentral:miRNA from 1 species
GCGGCGCAAUGAAGAUGAAGGCGGGCGCUGCUCCAGGCGGAGGUGAGAUCCCGAGGCCUCUCCAGUAGGCCUAGGGCGC